GGGAGAUUAGCUCAGUUGGUAGAGCAGCGGACUCUUAAUCCGUUUGUCGCGAGUUCGACCCUCGCAUCUCCCA
rnacentral:tRNA from 1 species